rnacentral:rRNA from 1 species
UACCAGCUCUCCGAGUGGUGGGGAUGCUUAUUGGGCCUAAAGCAUUCGUAGCCUGCUUGACAAGUCCUCCGUUAAAUCCAACGAUUCAAUCGUUGGGCUGCGGGGGAUACUGUCCGGCUAGGGGGCGGGAGAGGCCGACGGUAUCCUCGGGGUAGGGGUGAAAUCCUAUAAUCCCGGGAGGACCACCAGUGGCGAAGGCUGUCGGCUAGAACGCGCUCGACGGUGAGGGAUGAAAGCUGGGGGAGCGAACCGGAUUAGAUACCCGGGUAGUCCCAGCUGUAAACGAUGCAGGCUAGGUGUUGGCGCGGCUACAUGCCGCUCCAGUGCCGCAGGGAAGCCGUUAAGCCUGCCGCCUGGGAAGUACGGCCGCAAGGCUUAAACUUAAAGGAAUUGGCGGGGAGCACCACAAGGUGUGAAGCUUGCGGUUU